GCCUCCGUGGCGCAAUCGGCUAGCGCGUUCGGCUGUUAACCGUAAGGUUGGAGGUUCCAGCCCUCCCGGGGGCG
rnacentral:tRNA from 1 species